AAAAGAGUUGGCCUUAACCGAAACUCUUCCAAACAAAACAAUGCUUUGGCACUUUUCAUCAAUCAACUAGAAACACAAAAUAUGAAAUUGGAACUAAGAGGCCCACUUCCAUCCAGUUCAGACAGGUCAAGCUCUUCCUACUGGGCCUGCACGAAUCUUCAUAGGAUCACCAGCUGCCUGGGCACCAAAAAAUUAUGCUUCCGAAAUCCCUUGAUGUCAAUUCCACACGAAGAGCAAUUGAGCUGCUCUACAUGUGCCACUCACGACAGAAGCCCUUUUUAUAAGCAUUUGACUCUUAGACUCUUAACAUCAGCUGAGGUCAUGAUCUCACUGUCAUGGGAUUGAGCCUCUUCUUGGCUCUGCACAUGGAGUGAGGAGACUGCUCAGAAGUCUCUCUCUCCCUCUGUCUCUACCCCUCCCCCACUCUCAUGCUCUCUCUCUCUCUCUCUCUCUCUCUCUCGCU